GACGAACGCUGGCGGCGUGCUUAACACAUGCAAGUCGAGCGGUAAGGCCCUUUCGGGGGUACACGAGCGGCGAACGGGUGAGUAACACGUGGGUGACCUGCCCUCAGCUCUGGGACAAGCCUGGGAAACCGGGUCUAAUACUGGAUAUGACUCCAUGACGCAUGUUGUGGGGUGGAAAGCCUUGUGCGGCUGAGGAUGGGCCCGCGGCCUAUCAGCUUGUUGGUGGGGUGANGGCCUACCAAGGCGACGACGGGUAGCCGGCCUGAGAGGGCGACCGGCCACACUGGGACUGAGACACGGCCCAGACUCCUACGGGAGGCAGCAGUGGGGAAUCUUGCGCAAUGGGCGAAAGCCUGGCGCAGCGACGCCGCGUGAGGGAUGACGGCCUGG
rnacentral:rRNA from 1 species